GUUAGUAACACUACGGUGCUUUUGAUUUGAAAUCAGAAUGUUUGUUUUUGUUAACAAUACUAACU
rnacentral:tRNA from 1 species